ensembl:miRNA Mir7233 microRNA 7233
AGUUAGGGACAGAUAGAUGGCAAGCAAGUCUUGAUCUAUAUUGUCUGCCUUUAGGUCUAC